GCCGAGAUGGCGGAACGAGGCAGACGCGUAGCUCUCAAAAAGCUAUGUCCUUAACGGACGUGGGGGUUCGACUCCCCCUCUCGGCA
rnacentral:tRNA from 1 species